GGCGAACGGGUGAGUAACACGUGAGUAACCUGCCCUUGACUUCGGGAUAACUCCGGGAAACCGGGGCUAAUACCGGAUAUGAGCUACCUUCGCAUGGGGGUGGUUGGAAAGUUUUUCGGUCAGGGAUGGGCUCGCGGCCUAUCAGCUUGUUGGUGGGGUGAUGGCCUACCAAGGCGACGACGGGUAGCCGGCCUGAGAGGGCGACCGGCCACACUGGGACUGAGACACGGCCCAGACUCCUACGGGAGGCAGCAGUGGGGAAUAUUGCACAAUGGGCGAAAGCCUGAUGCAGCGACGCCGCGUGAGGGAUGAAGGCCUUCGGGUUGUAAACCUCUUUCAGCAGGGAAGAAGCGCAAGUGACGGUACCUGCAGAAGAAGCGCCGGCUAACUACGUGCCAGCAGCCGCGGUAAUACGUAGGGCGCAAGCGUUGUCCGGAAUUAUUGGGCGUAAAGAGCUCGUAGGCGGUUUGUCGCGUCUGGUGUGAAAACUCGAGGCUCAACCUCGAGCUUGCAUCGGGUACGGGCAGACUAGAGUGCGGUAGAGGGAGASUGGAAUUUCCUGGUGUAGCGGUGGAAUGCGCAGAUAUCAGGAAGGAACACCGAUGGCGAAGGCAGGUCUCUGGGCCGCAACUGACGCUGAGGAGCGAAAGCAUGGGGAGCGAACAGGAUUAGAUACCCUGGUAGUCCAUGCCGUAAACGUUGGGCACUAGSUGUGGGGMUCMUUCCACGAGUUCCGUGCCGCAGCAAACGCAUUAAGUGCCCCGCCUGGGGAGUACGGCCGCAAGGCUAAAACUCAAAGGAAUUGACGGGGGCCCGCACAAGCGGCGGAGCAUGCGGAUUAAUUCGAUGCAACGCGAAGAACCUUACCAAGGCUUGACAUGCACGGGAAGCCACCAGAGAUGGAUUGGUCUCUUUGGACACUCGUGCACAGGUGGUGCAUGGUUGUCGUCAGCUCGUGUCGUGAGAUGUUGGGUUAAGUCCCGYAACGAGCGCAACCCUYGUCCCAUGUUGCCAGCGGGUUAUGSYGGGGACUCAUGGGAGACUGCCGGGGUCAACUCGGAGGAAGGUGGGGAUGACGUCAAAUCAUCAUGCCCCUUAUGUCUUGGGCUUCACGCAUGCUACAAUGGCCGGUACAAAGGGCUGCGAUACCGUAAGGUGGAGCGAAUCCCAAAAAGCCGGUCUCAGUUCGGAUUGGGGUCUGCAACUCGACCCCAUGAAGUCGGAGUCGCUAGUAAUCGCAGAUCAGCAACGCUGCGGUGAAUACGUUCCCGGGCCUUGUACACACCGCCCGUCAAGUCACGAAAGUCGGUAACACCCGAAGCCCAUGGCCCAACCGUU
rnacentral:rRNA from 1 species